rnacentral:rRNA from 1 species
GUGGGGAAUCUUGCGCAAUGGGCGAAAGCCUGACGCAGCCAUGCCGCGUGAAUGAUGAAGGUCUUAGGAUUGUAAAAUUCUUUCACCGGGGACGAUAAUGACGGUACCCGGAGAAGAAGCUCCGGCUAACUUCGUGCCAGCAGCCGCGGUAAUACGAAGGGGGCUAGCGUUGCUCGGAAUUACUGGGCGUAAAGGGCGCGUAGGCGGACAGCUUAGUCAGAGGUGAAAGCCCAGGGCUCAACCUUGGGAUUGCCUUUGAUACUGGCUGUCUUGAGUUUGGGAGAGGUGAGUGGAACUCCGAGUGUAGAGGUGAAAUUCGUAGAUAUUCGGAAGAACACCAGUGGCGAAGGCGACUCACUGGCCCAAUACUGACGCUGAGGCGCGAAAGCGUGGGGAGCAAACAGGAUUAGAUACCCUAGUAGUCC